rnacentral:rRNA from 1 species
CGCCUGGGGAGUACGGCCGCAAGGUUAAAACUCAAAUGAAUUGACGGGGGCCCGCACAAGCGGUGGAGCAUGUGGUUUAAUUCGACGCAACGCGAAGAACCUUACCUGGCCUUGACAUCCAGAGAGCUUUCCAGAGAUGGAUUGGUGCCUUCGGGAACUCUGAGACAGGUGCUGCAUGGCCGUCGUCAGCUCGUGUCGUGAGAUGUUGGGUUAAGUCCCGUAACGAGCGCAACCCCUAUCCCUGGUUGCUAGCAGGUAAUGCUGAGAACUCCAGGGAGACUGCCGGUGACAAACCGGAGGAAGGUGGGGAUGACGUCAGGUCAUCAUGGCCCUUACGGCCAGGGCUACACACGUGCUACAAUGGCGCGUACAGAGGGCUGCCAACUCGCGAGAGUGAGCCAAUCCCUUAAAACGCGCCGUAGUCCGGAUCGGAGUCUGCAACUCGACUCCGUGAAGUCGGAAUCGCUAGUAAUCGCGAAUCAGAAUGUCGCGGUGAAUACGUUCCCGGGCCUUGUACACACCGCCCGUCACACCAUGGGAGUGGAUUGCACCAGAAGUAGUUAGUCUAACCUUCGGGAGGACGAUUACCACGGUGUGGUUCAUGACUGGGGUGAAGUCGUAACAAGGUAACCGUA